GUGUAAUCAAAGAAUGAAUCCUUUCUUGAAAGUGCAAGGUGGGAUGAAUUAGAUCAGUGGUGCAAAAGCAGAUGUUCUUUACUGUGAUAGGCCUUUCUUUGGAUACUCUGGGAAGAAGGGACCUAAACAAAACACUAAACUGAAGAGGAUUCAGAGGUGCAAUCACUGCCAGCCACUGCAAGCAAGAGAAAUCCCCUUUAAAUAGAUAUUUUCUCUGCAUUUGUUUCCAAACUGUAAUUCUGCUGCAUGACUUAAAAAAAGAGGGGGGAAAAAAGGAAAAGAAAAAAAAAAAAAAAAAAAGAUUUGAUAUUUCAGUCUCUCAGGGCAGCUUCCGAAUAAUUACAUGCAAAAUGAUCUAUUAUAUAUUUAUUGAAAAUAGUAUUGCUGAGUACAAAUGUGCAUUUUAUUCAGAAUGGUCAUUUUUUAAAGGCAUCUAUUGUAGCUGAUUCACUAACAUCCAGGGGUUCUUGCCAUACACACAGCACAGAUUUUUUUGAUUAUGUAGAUUUUUUUUUCCUAUUGCAGUUUCAUAUGCAAAGCAUGCAUCAGCCACAUCCAUGCUAUCUCCUAAAGCAGUCAUUCUGAAACCCAAUCUGGGGACAGUGCAGACUAAAUAAAAUUUCAUUUUGAUUUGGCCUCCCGCUGAGAAUGGGACUGCUUUGUUUCAGCCGACAGAACCAGCAAGCCAGAAAGGUAUGUCCUGUUUUGCAUGGCUGAUGGUGUGACUUGAGGAUCACAAUCAGGCCGUUCAUGCUCUCAGGGCUCGGCAUCUCAUCCACAUCCUGUACUGUCUUUCUCUUUUCCUUUCCAUUUGCUUUCCUUCUGUGCCGCCUGCCGUCUACCUGCAGGGCAAAGCUAUGGCAAACCCUAACACUAUUGUUUACUUUGGCAUAUGUUUAAUAGCUGCAUGGCUGUUUAAGGGUAGGGUUUUUCUUUCCUUUUUUUUUUUUUCCCCUCAUUCUUCCCCCGCCUUUGUUUUUCCCUGCCCUACCCACAUUCACUUUCCUUAUUUUCUAGGUGUUGAAUACACAAAAACUGACUUAACGGACAAUUGUCACACCACAGGAAGGUGUUGGGCACAUCCAGAAGCUACCUGGAUCCAAGAGUUUCCCUAUGGAUGAAAGGUGUCUUAAAAGUAUGCUGCUUUGACACUGCACAGAAGAUAUAACUCAGCUACUUCAUGCUCCCAAUCUCAUCUAACUGGUGCUGGUUACUUGGUAGGCUCAUGCCUUGUGAUUUUUCAUCACCAUGAGGAUCCCAAGAGGCAUCACCAGAAUCACCAAC
rnacentral:lncRNA from 1 species